rnacentral:misc_RNA from 1 species
UAUGAAGAACGUAGCGAAAUGCGAUAAGUAAUGUGAAUUGCAGAAUUCAGUGAAUCAUCGAAUCUUUGAACGCACCUUGCGCUCUUUGGUAUUCCGAAGAGCAUGCCUGUUUGAGUGUCAUGAAAAUAUCAACCUUGACUUGGGUUUUGUGCUCUAGUCUCGGCUUGGAAUUGGGUGCUUGCCGCUUUUACGAGCGGCUCACCUUAAAUGUAUUAGCUGGAUCUGUCUUUGAGACUUGGUUUGACUUGGCGUAAUAAGUAUUUCGCUAAGGACAUUCUUCGGAGUGGCCUCGUUUCUAGGACGCUUGUCCGCUUUCCAAUACAAGUUCCACCUCGUGGACAUGACUUUUUAUUAUCUGGCCUCAAAUCAGGUAGGACUACCCGCUGAACUUAAGCAUAUCAAUAAGCGGAGGA